CUGAAGCGUGUAGGUCCCGCAAGGGGCCGAGACGUGACCACGAGACUGCGGGGCAACCCAAGGUCAAGUUUCGUAGAGUCGACAGGCAAGAAAAGCUUUCGGGGGAGCAUACCGACGUCCGUACCGUAAACCGACACAGGUGGGUGAGGCGAGUAGCCUCAGGUGAACGAGUGAAACGUGGUCAAGGAACUCGGCAUAAUGAUCCCGUAACUUCGGAAGAAGGGAUGUCCAUCUUGGUGAGGUGUACAGCCAAGCUAGGGUGGAUCGCAGUGAAUCGGCCCAAGCGACUGUUUAGCAAAAACACAGGUGUGUGCCAAGCCGCACAAGGCGCCGUAUACACACUGACGCCUGCCCGGUGCCGGAAGGUUAAGGGGAGAGGUUAGCCGCAAGGCGACGCUUUGAGCCGAAGCCCCGGUAAACGGCGGCCGUAACAAUAACGGUCCUAAGGUAGCGAAAUUCCUUGUCGGGUAAGUUCCGACCUGCACGAAUGGCGUAACGACUUGGGCACUGUCUCGACCACGUGCUCGGCGAAAUGGCAGUCUCGGUGAGGAUUCCGAGUCCCCGCGACAGGACAAAAAGACCCCAUGCACCUUUACUGCAGCUUGUCAUUGGACGUUGCACUACACUGUGUAGCAUAGGUGGGAGUCGAUGAGGCCGGGGCGCUAGCUCUGGCGGAGACAUCAGUGAAAUACCACCCUGGGUUGUGCGACGUUCUCACUGCGAUGAACACACUUCAUCCAGGACCGUGGCAGGUAGGCAGUUUGACUGGGGCGGUCGCCUCCGAAACAGUAACGGAGGCGCGCGCAAGGUUGGCUCAGCGCGGACGGUACUCGCGCUUAUAGAGUGUAACGGCAGAAGCCAGCCUGACGGUGAGACCGACGGGUCGAGCCGCCACGAAAGUGGGCCGUAGUGAUCCGGUAGCCCGGGGUGGAGCGGCUAUCGCGCAACGGAUAAAAGGUACGCUGGGGAUAACAGGCUUAUCGCGCCCGAGAGUUCACAUCGACGGCGCGGUUUGGCACCUCGAUGUCGGCUUAUCACAUCCUGGGGCUGGAGAAGGUCCCAAGGGUCCGGCUGUUCGCCGGUUAAAGUGGUACAUGAGCUGGGUUCAGGACGUCGUGAGACAGUUCGGUCUGUAUCCGUCGUGGGCGUUGGAGUGUUGAGGGGAGCGGACUCUAGUACGAGAGGACCGAGUCGGACGACCCGCUCGUGUCCCGGUUGUCCUGCCAAGGGCACCGCCGGGUAGCGAUGGUCGGCUGUGAUAACCGCUGAAAGCAUCUAAGUGGGAAGCACGCCCCAAGAUGAACACUCCCGAGGGUAUAACCCUCCUAAAGGGCCGGGGCAGACCACCCCGUCGAUAGGCCGCCCGUGGACGUCCAGCAAUGGAUUCCAAGCGCAGCGGUCCUAAUCGCCCGUGCGGCUUGACUAC
rnacentral:rRNA from 1 species